rnacentral:rRNA from 1 species
CGUCGGGGCAUCGUGCAGCUCUAUACGCGGGAGUAAGGGCACGCAGGCGGUUUCUUAGUCUGAUGUGAAGCCCCCGGCUCAACCGGGGAGGGUCAUUGGAAACUGGGGAACUUGAGUGCAGAAGAGGAAAGUGGAAUUCCACGUGUAGCGGUGAAAUGCGUAGAGAUGUGGAGGAACACCAGUGGCGAAGGCGACUCUCUGGUCUGUAACUGACGCUGAGGAGCGAAAGCGUGGGGAGCGAACAGGAUUAGAUACCCUGGUAGUCCACGCCGUAAACGAUGAGUGCUAAGUGUUAGGGGGUUUCCGCCCCUUAGUGCUGCAGCUAACGCAUUAAGCACUCCGCCUGGGGAGUACGGUCGCAAGACUGAAACUCAAAGGAAUUGACGGGGGCCCGCACAAGCGGUGGAGCAUGUGGUUUAAUUCCAAGCAACGCGAAAAACCUUACCAGGUCUUGACAUCCUCUGACAAUCCUAGAGAUAGGACGUCCCCUUCGGGGGGAAAAUGACAGGUGGUGCGUGGUUGUCCUCACCUCGUGUCGUGAGAUGUUGGGUUAUAUCCCCCAACGAGCGCACACCAA